rnacentral:piRNA from 1 species
UUUGAAAUACACGGGCUUGCUUGGCUGG